rnacentral:tRNA from 1 species
GCAUUGGUGAUUCAGUGGUAGAAUUCUUGCCUUCCAUGCAUGAGACCUGGUUCAAUUUCCGGCCAAUGCA